rnacentral:rRNA from 1 species
AUCGAACGCUGGCGGCAGGCCUAACACAUGCAAGUCGAACGAGUGGCGGACGGGUGAGUAAUGUCUGGGAAACUGCCUGAUGGAGGGGGCUAACUACUGGAAACGGUAGCUAAUACCGCAUACCAUCGGAUGUGCCCAGAUGGGAUUAGCUAGUAGGUGGGGUAACGGCUCACAUAGGCGACGAUCCCUAGCUGGUCUACGAGGCAGACCGGCCACACGGGAACUGAGACACGGUCCAGACUCCUACGGGAGGCAGCAGUGGGGAAUAUUGCACAAUGGGCGAAAGCCUGAUGCAGCCAUGCCGCGUGUAUGAAGAAGGCCUUCGGGUUGUAAAGUACUUUGAGCGGGGAGGCGUUACCCAAAGAGAAAGCAACGGCUAACUCCGUGCCAGCAGCCGCGGUAAUUC